CACUAAAAUAACUAGAAAACAUAUUAAAGUGAUAAGAUAACGGCUUGAUUUCAGGGAAGAAUCAAAAUUCUCAAAGCUAUCAAAACCACUGAGCUAUUUCAGAAGCUUUUGGCUAUAUCUACAUCUAUGGAGCCUCCUGGAGCCAGGGGAGAACAUUUAGGCAGAGGAUGUUUUUAGACAUGCUGGGGGAUGAUACUGAGUGAUGCUGAGACAGCACAUCCUGAAUCAAUCAACAACAGGAGGACACAGAAAAAAAACAAGACACGGACUUGGAGAAUUCAGAGAGAGACAUGGAAUUUACAUCAUCAGACCUGAAGAUGCAGAAACCUGUGACCCGCCAUCAGAAGUUGUACUGAUUGUUGAGGGAGUGAAAGUUCUGCAGAAUCUUGGUGACGUCACCAAGGCUUGUGCUCUUCCUUUGGCAGUCAUAUACAGCUUGAAUCUCAGUUAUCCAUUAGACCUGAAGCACACUUUUGAGUUUUCCAGAAAGUGUUGCUGGGACUUGAUGCACAGAAACUGUCACGCAAAAAUGCAGGUUCUCAACAACAAACAUGUUGGUGGAAUCAGUACAUCUUAAUUUCUCUUGCAUUUGUCCAAAAUUAAGUUUUUUUGACAUGUGACAUUUAAAUUGUUUUUAGUUUUAAAAUUAGGGUGCAGUUUUAAUGUUAACUUUGUUGAUGGCACCAACAUAUGAAAUUGAGUUCUGCAGCUUUUUGAGGCAUGUUGCCUGUCUUGAGCAAACUGUUGUUUUAUUGUUUGUAAGAACU